GCUAUAAUCCCUAUGCCGAUCUCACUCACACCUGGAAUCGAACCCCGGCCUCCCAGGUGCCAGCCAGUCACUCUACCCACUGAGCUAUACUCCCUAUGCCUAUCUCACUCACUCAGUUAGCUAUACUCCCGAUGCCUAUCUCACUCACUGAGCUAUACUCCCGAUGCCGAUCUCACUCACACCUGGAAUCGAACCCCGGCCUCCCAGGUGCCAGCCAGUCACUCUACCCACUGAGCUAUACUCCCUAUGCCUAUCUCACUCACUCAGUUAGCAUGACUCCCGAUGCCUAUCUCACUCACCC